rnacentral:rRNA from 1 species
UACGGAGGGUGCGAGCGUUGUCCGGAAUUAUUGGGCGUAAAGGGUGCGUAGGCGGGUCUUUAAGUCAGGGGUGAAAUCCUGGAGCUCAACUCCAGAACUGCCUUUGAUACUGAGGAUCUUGAGUUCGGGAGAGGUGAGUGGAACCGCGAGUGUAGAGGUGAAAUUCGUAGAUAUUCGCAAGAACACCAGUGGCGAAGGCGGCUCACUGGCCCGAUACUGACGCUGAGGCACGAAAGCGUGGGGAGCAAACAGG